GGUUGAUCCUGCCAGUAGUCAUAUGCUUGUCUCAAAGAUUAAGCCAUGCAUGUCUAAGUAUAAGCAAUUUAUACAGUGAAACUGCGAAUGGCUCAUUAAAUCAGUUAUCGUUUAUUUGAUAGUACCUUACUACUUGGAUAACCGUGGUAAUUCUAGAGCUAAUACAUGCUAAAAAUCCCGACUUAUGGAAGGGAUGUAUUUAUUAGAUAAAAGACCAAUGCUCUUCGGAGCUCUUUGGUGAUUCAUGAUAACUUUUCGAAUCGCAUGGCCUUGCGCUGGCGAUGGUUCAUUCA
rnacentral:rRNA from 1 species